AGCUUAAUGUACAAUAUACAGCUUAAUGUACGGUAUACAGCUUAAUGUGCGGUAUACAGCUUAAUGUACAAUAUACAGCUUAAUGUACAAUAUACAGCUUAAUGUAUAAUAUACAGCUUAAUGUGCGGUAUACAGCUUAAUGUAUAAUAUACAGCUUAAUGUGCGGUUUACAGCUUAAUGUACAAUACACAGCUUAAUGUGCGGUAUACAGCUUAAUGUACAAUAUACAGCUUAAUGUA